AUACGGAGGAUCCGAGCGUUAUCCGGAUUUAUUGGGUUUAAAGGGUGCGCAGGCGGCCAUUUAAGUCAGCGGUUAAAUCGUGGGGCUCAACCCCAUUCUGCCGUUGAUACUGGGUGGCUUGAUUGCGGUCGAGGUUGGCGGAAUUCGUUGUGUAGCGGUGAAAUGCAUAGAUAUGACGAAGAACACCGAUUGCGUAGGCAGCUGACCAGACCGCAAAUGACGCUCAUGCACGAAAGUGCGGGGAUCGAACAGGAUUAAAUACCCUGGUAGUCCGCACAGUAAACGAUGAAUACUUGUUUUCGGCGAUAUAAUGUCGGAGGCAAAGCGAAAGCGAUAAGUAUUCCACCUGGGGAGUACGCCGGCAACGGUGAAACUCAAAUGAAUUGACGGGG
rnacentral:rRNA from 1 species